UUCUAGAAGGCAACAGCUGCCAGGUCAAGCCCUGCUGCCCACAGCAGUUACCCUGAUGUCACACGGCCAGCAUGCUGUCCUCCUUUCCCUGUGUGGAGACGUCCUCCAGAGGCCACCUGACCAAGCUCUUUUCCCCUGCUCUGAUUCUGAGGAAGCCAGACACGACACUGCCCUCAACCUUGAAUCAGCCUCCUCAAAGCACCGUCUCUAGCAUUUUGGAGCUGCCAUUUAUACCUAAACCAGAGGAGAGGACAGAGGGCUAAGAGGGUCAAUAGCCAAGAAAAGAUUGGAAUAACGGACGAGGCUGUGUGUGACUCUAAAAUGGCUGUGAAAACUUUUUACAUUCAUGGAAGCAUAUUACAGAGCACAGAAGAAAGAGAGACCAGAAGAAGUCUCCUGAAGUCACCCUGUCUGGCGUAGGAGCCUCCAUGGCCUGUGUCUGUCUGCAGCGUUUCCUCUCCUGGCCGAGGAACAGGAAGUGGUGCCUGGGGGGGGGGGGUGGUUCCUGUCUUGAGCAAGAGUGAGGACCACAAGAUUAAAUGAUUCGUCUGUGCUGCUUGGGCCUCAAACAGGUUUGGAGUGUUUAGAGUCCAUGAAGUUCAAAGUUCAGCAAACUGCUGCUUAGCAACGGCACACCUCUAGCUCGCGCGCGCGCCGCCACACAUACACACUACACACAUACACACUACACACAUACAUACACAUACA